UCCCUGGUGGUCUAAUGGUUAGGAUUUGGUGCUCUCACCGCCAUGGCCUGGCUUUGAUUCCCGGCCAGGGAA